CUUCAUUAACCUCUUUGAGCAUCAGUUUUCCUGAUCUGUAAGAGGGGCACGUAAUGCUAUCUCUUGACAGAUUCCUUGCGAAGCUGAGAGGUGCUGUAUGUAUAACACCUGAUCCUCCUCAGCAGAGGGACCUCUGCAAAGGCAGACUGACACCACUUUUCGAAGCCUCAGCAACCGCAUUUAAGCAGUUACUGGUUUUCACUGUUGCCUGAUAAGCUCAAUGCCCUCCGGGUGCAGGAAAGAUCUGGAAAGCAAAAUAUGAAAUGCACCCAUGUACUGCCUGCCGCGGUUAGGGUUUCUGACUAAAUUAGUUCCUGUGGAAGCAGCAAGCAAUGCUUCCCUCUAUGCUGGAAGCUGUCUGUGAUAGUCACCAUAAUCAAUGAGAAAAGCCCAGGGUUUGGGGAUUGCCCCAGAAAACCAGCCAUCCAUCCCCACCACCCUCCAGGAUGGGGAUUCAGAAGCACUCAGGAAAGUGCCCAAGAUGACGGCCCAUCAAGAAGUCAGCACCAGGCCAAAGGUUUUCCCCUUGCGUGGCCUCGACGGAAUCCUGAACAGCUAGCAGUCGGGUGCUGCCUGAUACAUGAAUUGCUGAGCUUAAUGUUCAAAUAAACUUGUUAAAAUCCUAA
ensembl:lncRNA novel transcript